rnacentral:lncRNA from 1 species
UUCAAUGUUUGAGGAGAUGUUUCUAAGGAUUUUUGGAGGGAAAAGCAAUAUUACACAAGAAAACCACAUUUUCUCUUGUUUGUUAUCAAAAUAUCUAGAGAAGCCAUAUCCACCUGCCUUUUUGUGGCUAACAGGGGUCUGAGCCCAUAAACUGACUGAGGAACAAAUCUUGUCCGUCGGGGGAGAAAACCAGUCAGCUGGGGGUUAAGUGGAUGGGAGGGUGGAGACGCCUCAGGAAAAACCUGCCAGAGCUGUAAAGGGUCAGAGCUUCAAACGGGAGUGAAAAAGCAGGGGGAAGUUAGAACUGAGCUCUCUUGCUUUCAAAUUCAAAAAUUUUCAGAUUUGCUUCAAACGUAUACUUAAGAACUCUAGGGGCCAGCCCUGUGGCCCGGUGGCCGAGUGGUUAAGUUCACACGCUCCGCUUAGAUGGCCCACGGUUUUGCCAGUUUGGAUCCUGGGCACGGACCUAGCACCGCUCGUCAGGCCAUGCUGAGGUGGCGUCCCACAUAGCACAACUAGAAGGACCUACAACGAAGAUAUACAACUACAUACUGGGGCGCUUUGGGGAGAAAAAGAAGAAGAAAAAAGAGAUUGGCAACAGAUGUUAGCUCAUGGCCAAUCUUAAAAAAAAACACCUCUAAUAAUGCCGUAAAAAUCUCCAUCCUUGAAUUGGAAGGAGAACACGUGCAUGGAAGCGCAUGAAAGCUCUGAAGAGACGCUACCAAACUGACAGGAGAGUUAUCUGCUGGGAAGCCGGAGCAGGCCAGGUGUUCAAGCAGGAGCAGCAUGGCGGCUGGGCUCCCAGAGCGAGUGUCCCAAGAGCUCCAGGUUGAAAUCCAUGACAUUUUCACGGUAUCAUCUACCCUCAGAGGUCACGUAGCAUCAAUUCAGCCACACUAUGUCGUUCAAGAGUGUCACAAAGUUUGUCCAGAUUCAAAUGGAGGAAACUACUGGCUUGAUAGAAGUGUCAAGGUUACACUGUUUUAAAAAAAGAAGCAGCCUGUGGAAUGAUAGAUACUGUUGUGGCUGUUUUUGGAAAUUAUAACCUGCAAAUGAGCCAUAUGUGAAGGAGCAUUUGACAAAACCCAGACAUCUGUGCUUCACAGGGAAAGGGAAACCCUAGACUCUCCUUUGUGAAAUGAGCUUAAUA